UACGUAGGGGGCGAGCGUUGUCCGGAGUUACUGGGCGUAAAGCGCACGCAGGCGGUCUGUUAAGUUUGGAGUGACAGUUGGUGGCUUAACUGCCAAAGUGCUUCGAAAACUGACAGACUUGAGGGCUUCAGAGGGACACGGAAUUCCGGGUGGAGUGGUGAAAUGCGUAGAGAUCGGAAAGAACACCAACGGCGAAAGCACUCUGCUGGGCCGACACUGACACUGAGAGACGAAAGCUAGGGGAGCGAAUGGG
rnacentral:rRNA from 1 species